rnacentral:rRNA from 1 species
UACGUAGGGAGCAAGCGUUGUCCGGAAUCAUUGGGCGUAAAGCGCGCGUAGGCGGCCCGAUAAGUCCGCUGUAAAAGUCAACGGCUCAACUGUUGAAAGCCGGUGGAUACUGUCGGGCUAGAGUACGGAAGAGGCAAGUGGAGUUCCUGGUGUAGCGGUGGAAUGCGCAGAUAUCAGGAGGAACACCCAUAGCGAAGGCAGCUUGCUGGGACGUUACUGACGCUAAGGCGCGAAAGCGUGGGGAGCGAACAGG